rnacentral:rRNA from 1 species
CCCUUAGAUGUUCUGGGCCGCACGCGCGCUACACUGACGAUGCCAACGAGUCUUUCCUUCGCCGAAAGGCGUGGGUAAUCUUUUGAAACAUCGUCGUGCUGGGGAUAGAUCAUUGCAAUUCUUGAUCUUGAACGAGGAAUUCCUAGUAAGCGCGAGUCAUCAGCUCGCGUUGAUUACGUCCCUGCCCUUUGUACGCACCGCCCGUCGCUACUACCGAUUGAAUGGUUUAGUGAGGACUCCUGAUUGGCGCCGCCGCCCCGGCAACGGAGCAGCGGACUGCCGAAAAGUUGUUCAAACUUGAUCAUUUAGAGGAAGUAAAAGUCGUAACA